rnacentral:rRNA from 1 species
GACGAACCGAGCGAACGUUGUUCGGAAUCACUGGGCUUAAAGGGCGCGUAGGCGGGCUGUCAAGUCUGGGGUGAAAUCCCGCGGCUCAACCGUGGAACUGCCUUAGAUACUGACGGCCUCGAGGGAGGUAGGGGCAUGCGGAACUGAUGGUGGAGCGGUGAAAUGCGUUGAUAUCAUCAGGAACUCCGGUGGCGAAGGCGGCGUGCUGGACCUUUUCUGACGCUGAGGCGCGAAAGCUAGGGGAGCAAACGGG